CGGAGGGUGCAAGCGUUAUCCGGAGUUUACUGGGUUUAAAGGGUGUGUAGGCGGACUAUUAAGUCAGUGGUGAAAUCCCGAGGCUCAACCUCGGAACUGCCUUUGAUACUAUUAGUCUUGAAUGUUGUUGAGGUGGGCGGAACGGGUCAUGUAGCGGUGAAAUGCAUAGAUAUGACCCGGAACACCGAUUGCGAAGGCAGCCCGCUAAGCAACUAUUGACGCUGAGGCACGAAAGCGUGGGGAUCAAACAGGAUUAGAUACCCUGGUAGUCCACGCCCUAAACGAUGAUUACUCGACGUUGGCGAUACACUGAUCAGCGUCCAAGCGAAAGCAUUAAGUAAUCCACCUGGGAAGUACGUUCGCAAGAAUG
rnacentral:rRNA from 1 species